GAUUAUUUGACAUCUCAAAUACGGCUUGUUCUCAGUUUCAGCAAGAUCUGGGCCCAGACACGAGCACCUUGGAGGAAAACUUGAAAAGCAUGGAAAGCAGCUCAUGAAAGAUUGAAGCAAGCGGCUCCAUCUAGUGUCUGUGCUGAGGAGCAGGAGAUGGAGAAGAUGACCGCAGGAGCAUGAGACGAAUGAGAAGAAACUGCUGCCGGAGCUCAUGGAGGAGGAGAUGAUGAUGAUGAUGCAGACAGAGGUGAAGAACAGCUGCUGAUGUAAAGAUGAUGAAGUGGCGCACAUGAGGUCAGUCUGACAAAACAGAUGACUGAGAAUGUGAUGAAACGCUUCUGUUCGCUCUUCAGGGUUUGUUCUUGAUUCCUCCCAAAGGUUUUCUCUCU
ensembl:lncRNA